UACGUAGGGUGCAAGCGUUAUCCGGAAUUAUUGGGCGUAAAGAGCUCGUAGGCGGUUUGUCGCGUCUGCUGUGAAAACUGGAGGCUCAACCUCCAGCCUGCAGUGGGUACGGGCAGACUAGAGUGCGGUAGGGGAGACUGGAAUUCCUGGUGUAGCGGUGAAAUGCGCAGAUAUCAGGAGGAACACCGGUGGCGAAGGCAGGUCACUGGGCCGCAACUGACGCUGAGGAGCGAAAGCAUGGGGAGCGAACAGG
rnacentral:rRNA from 1 species